UGCCGCGCCGAGUGUGCAAGCGGAAACGCCCACAAAAGUUUGAUUGUAGACUUUGAACAACUCGUAGCGCGGUUUU
rnacentral:sRNA from 12 species